GGACGGGUGGUGGAAUGGCAGACACAGCAGACUUAGGAUCUGGCGCUUCACGGCAUAGGGGUUCGAUUCCCCUCCCGUCUA
rnacentral:tRNA from 1 species